UCGAAAGGAACAUCUGUCCUGAGACGUCUUCGGAAUGUCAGCACUGCCCCAUCUCUGGAAGAAUGGAGAUUGAGGUGUCUCCCCCCUCCGUAAUGCUGAACCUUGGCUCCAAAGCUCAACUGCUUUGAGUUCCUAGAAGGGGAUCCUCAUGUUUGGGCAUCGCACACCAGUGAGCCCCAGGGGCCACCUGUGUCCGUCACCCCAGCGUUGGGGUUGUAAGCACCCAGCACCACUGUUUUUAAAUGUGUUCUGAGAAACUGAACUCAGGUCCUCUUGCCUGUGAAACAAGCCCAUUGGUGGCUGAGCCAUGCCCGCAGCCUGUUCCCCAAACUGUUUCCUAACUUUUACUGUAAACCAGUUCAAAAGGCUUCUUCACGGUCGCCAUCACAGGCCUGGGUGUCUCGGCACGCACUUCCUGUGUCAGGUGUCCUGUAGCUGGGGUUGUAGACGGUUGUGAGCGGCCACGUGGGUGCUGGGAAUGGAACGCCAGGUCCCCCUGCGAGACCAGCAAGUGUUUGUAACCUCCGAGCCAUCUCUCCUGUCUCAAAUGCACGCUGUUCUUCAGGGCAAGGGACAAACCGGCCUCGGAGACGGUUAGAGGCUGUUACAGUGGGAUUUCUUGGGUUCAGCUGUCACCCCGGUUUUGUAAUCCACAUAUAUGUCUCCCAGAGGAGACUCAAAAGUGUGACUGCCUGAAGCUUUUGGGGGAGCCCUCACGGCAGGGCUAAAGAGGCAGGGACGCCAACCCAGUAAGACUAGAACGUGGAACAUGAAGGCAGCGUGAACUGCUCGUGAACGCCCAGAUGGAAGUGAACUUGGUUUGGACCAGUUGGCACCUUUCUUCUUUUCCGUUUCCGCCUUCUAUCUGAUGCCUAGCCCACGACUACGCGCCAGAGACACGAAGUCAUCUGAGUUGGUGUUUGCUACCAUCGCCUGGGCUAAAUACAGCAGGAACAUCUCCAGGAACUCUCAGGGUGGUGGUCAGCCAGCUAAGCCACAAGCUUCCCAUCUGAGGGUUCCAUGACCUCAAGCCCAGCAACACGUGUCUGUGCUUCGACUGUGAGAUUCAAAUUAGCUUGACUUUAAGAAACAACGCGGAUUUGCAUUUUCUGAACCGAUUGUUAUUUAAUUAAUAAUAAUAAUGGUUAAGGCUUAAGGGUACUUUCUAUUUUGUGGAACUGGAAGAAAAGAUAUGUCUUUACUUUUAAAAGUUCAGUACAAAGAAAGCCUCCCUGUUGAGGGAGGCUUCAGUAAAUUCUCAGUGUUGGCUUGUUUAAAUAACUAAGAACUAAAAGGAAAAAAAAAGAAUGUUUGGGGUUUUUGUGAAAAGUUGGAGCUGAGAUAAGUCAACCAACUGUGGUUUCUCAGUCCCCACGGAUCUGCCGGGUACACAAAGCCACCGGACAGUCACAUGACCCCUCUGAUUCCUCAGGGCAGACUUCUCAGUGUGAUGGGUGGAACCACUCCCCGCUGUGCGUGGCCAGGGGAAGAGGUACACAUCCAUUUCCUCCAAGAAUUUACAAGAAAGUCCAGAAUCAUUGCAGCAUUGAGGCUUCUUCCCUCUGUCUCUACAGGAAAAGCCACGGCGCUAAGUAAGCAAGACUUCUGUCACUUCCUGUUUCAACUUCCAGGACUCUUGUCUAACAAUGUCUGACACCUUGUCAGCUUACCAGACAGGCCAUCGCAGCAACAGACAAGCCCAGACACGGCAGGAGAGCCUGUCCAGGAGGGAGAAGAUGUGUGGAGAAUGUGAAGAGACAUUGACGCUUCAGAAGCAAGCAGUCUUUGUGUAGGAGCCAACAUGGAAGCAUCCAAGGGAGGUUUCGUGGCUGUGGAGUGGAGUACGCUAAUUCCUUUAAAAAGCUCACUGAUGAUUGGCGGAUUGGCUUGCUGGGUGGCAGUGCUUGCUGUGCAAUCAAGAGAAUCUGAGUUCGCCGGGCGGUGGUGGCGCACGCCUUUAAUCCCAGCACUCAGGAGGCAGAGGCAGGCGGAUCUCUGUGAGUUGGAGGCCAGCCUGGUCUACAAAUUGUCAUGGCACUUCAAGCGGGAAGAAAUGCCCGUCCUUGUCAUCUGCCCCCCUCUUAGCCAGGAGACAUCGGCCUCAAUCUCCUUACACGUUCUGUACUUGCCUCUGGCCACUCCACCGCUCCGUAUCCACUCCCUAUUCCUGGUGCUCAAGAAACAGCAACCCAAAACAAGCUCUGCUUUUGCUGCCUUCUGCAGAAAUCGAUAAGAAUGCAAUUUGAACAAGGUAUGAUUUUAAUCAGCAUGCCUCAAGCGAUAGUGUCAGGGCAACACUCGGGCCAAAAGACGGAGUCUGCCUAGACCCACACCAGGAACUUGAACUCUUGAGAUACAGUUUUAAACAGCCAGGAGAACAAUGAAACCGUGGCUAAGAUUGGGGACUUGUCCCCCCUUCUGCUGGCUCAACUUGGGAAAGAAAAGUACUAAAACAAUGUCAAGGGCAUUUCCGCUGAAGGAGAAACCUGUAAACCAGCCACUCACCAGCCGAGUGUGGGAGACUGUUAGGGCUCAGAGUUUGCUUCUGUCUGGGCAUGAAGUACACGAAGCCUAAGCCGUACACUGUUGUCAGGUCCCCAGUGUUGGAAAUUUACCCAGUGACCUGGUCCAGUGCAGACAGAUGUGGAGGAGCAGGGGAAGCCAGGCUUGGAACAGCUGAGGAAGAUAAAUGACCUUGGAGUCGCCCUAAGCAAGCCAGAUGCAAGAAAGUGGCUGGUUUCCGAACCAGGGUUGGGGACAAGGGACUAGGCUGGUUCACAGUUCACUUUGCCAGCUCUUGCCAGGCCCUCUGUGCUUGACUGGGGGUACAGGUGGAGCAACCCUGCCUUCUGAAGGGAAGUUACCGUGAAAUCAGAGCAUCUCCUUCAGAAGGGAAGUUACCGUGAAAUCAGAGCAUCUCCUUCAGAAGGGAAGUUACCGUGAAAUCAGAGCAUCUCCAAGCUGGGUGUAUUCCUGUCAGUCAUCUGUGAUUUAUUAUUGUUGCUGUUUUUUUACAUUUGUUUGUUUGUUGGUUGGUUGGUUUUUAUUUAUUUAUCCGGUGUGUAGGGGCAAGGGGAGGUCAGAGAACAGCUUUGGGGAAUGGUUCUUUCCAUCCUCUGAGGGUUCCUGGAAUCAAAUUCAGGCCAGCAGGUCUUGCUGCAAUCACCACUUAUCUGCUGAGCCAUCUUGCUGGCCCCUCCACCUGUCCUCAAUCUUAGGGGAAAAAAAGGUGCAAAAAAAUGAUACACAUUCACAGAAGUAAAAACCCACUCCCACUUGCCCAGUUAAGUGGAGGUGCAGAGUGCAGAGUGCUAUCCACAAGCAGCAGAAAGGAGGGAGAUCAGCAAAGUGACUGCAUUGGGGGGCGGGCAGACCAAAGAUGCAGAUAGCUUUUCACAUUUAGCAUGGCUCCGGCGUGAGCUUAUGAGCACCUUAAACUAGAGUGGACAUGUCAAUGUCUAUAAACUAAUACCAGGUGAGGAGAGCACAGGCUCCUGCCCUUCCCGCCCCCCCUCCACAAUGAAAAGGUCUGCCCAACCACGCUCUAACGUUCUCAGAGAUUUUACAUCUCCACUCUACCCAGUGUGGCCACAAGGGACUGUGGGCGAAGGCAUGGGGUGGUUAAUACAUAACGCUGUCUAAGAGAAAGAUGCUGCUGGAUAAAAUGUAACUCUGGUGACCUACAAACAGCGCACACUGGCCUGAGGCACCAUUAACGAAAUCCGAGAGAGUGAAAAGAGGUCAGGACCUCAGAUCUGUCCCGGCUUCCAGGCCACUGAGUGCAUUCCUCAGAGACAGAAUCAGCCAAGCGUUCAGCGUCCUACGCUGGGCCCCAUAGCCAAAAAAUACAGGAAGGUCUGAAACCAGACAUGAACAGUGAGCCUGCCUUGAGCUGUUAGGCCUCUGUUGGGAAGUGGCUGGAAAUGGUUUCUGAAGGAUGAAGCUUAGAGGGGAUGUGGGAAAACUCAGUUUUGAGCCGACGACGUCCUGUUAAGGAGAGAACCUCGAGCCCAUCUCCCCUUGCUAAGGAACGCAAUUUACUAUAAAUCUGUCUUCCCCACACGAUCUUCAAGAGAGGACUACAUGGGGAAAAUUCUGAUAAAAUGUAAACAUGGAAAGAUCUGAGUGUCCUGGUUUGCUUUCUGUGGGCAUGAUAGCACGGACCAAAAACGACUUAAGAGGUUUAUUUCAGCUUAGUGAGUGGCAACCAUGGAGGGAAGUCAGGGCAGGAACUUGUGGCAGGAACCUGGAGGAGCUGAUGCAGAGACCGUGCAGGGGUGCUGCUUACUGGCUUGUUCUCCAUGGCUUGCUCAAGCCUCCUUUUGGACGCGGUACAGGCCCACCUGCCCCAGGACGGCACCAUUCUGCAUUUAUUAGCAAAUGAGAAAAUAACCCCACAAGGUAAUCUGAUGGUGGUAAUUCCCCAACUGAGGUUCCCCCUGCCUAGGUGACUCUACUCUGUGUCAGGCUGACAGAAAGAUGGCCAGCACAGCAUGCAACACAGUAUCUGUCUUUAAAGACCAGGAGAGGCAGGUGGGUGCAGUUGUACCACACUCGGGCAUCUCUCCAGGGGAUUCCUCAUCCUACUGAAGGCAUUCUUGCUCAUCUGUGUUCACUGCCUGCUCUAUUCAUAACAAACAGAAGUUGGAAACAUCUUUGACCAAAGUCCAGAUGUAGUAACCAAAAUAAUUAAACUGAAAUAACCAGAAAAAAAACAUAAGUAAAAGAUCUUGGCCUGUUAUAUCUAAAUUAAUUGCUAUGUUCUUCCAGAAAUGAUCAUUUCAAGGUUACUACGACCUUGAUGUCAAUUACUGUCUUUGUGGAUUUUGCCCUUGAAAACUCUGUACUCCUGAGCUUGGACACCAAGAGACUCUUGAGAGGAACGAGCCCACUCUUGUCCGGCCAUCAAUAAAAAGGACUUAAAACUUA